UGGGGAAUAUUGGACAAUGGGCGAAAGCCUGAUCCAGCAAUGCCGCGUGAGUGAUGAAGGCCUUAGGGUUGUAAAGCUCUUUUACCAGGGAUGAUAAUGACAGUACCUGGAGAAUAAGCUCCGGCUAACUCCGUGCCAGCAGCCGCGGUAAUACGGAGGGAGCUAGCGUUGUUCGGAAUUACUGGGCGUAAAGCGCGCGUAGGCGGUUUCUCAAGUCAGAGGUGAAAGCCCGGGGCUCAACCCCGGAACUGCCUUUGAAACUAGGAGGCUAGAAUCUUGGAGAGGUCAGUGGAAUUCCGAGUGUAGAGGUGAAAUUCGUAGAUAUUCGGAAGAACACCAGUGGCGAAGGCGACUGACUGGACAAGUAUUGACGCUGAGGUGCGAAAGCGUGGGGAGCAAACA
rnacentral:rRNA from 1 species